AUGCAGUGAAGUCCACAAAACUAUAAAAUAAACAUUAAGCACGUGCUGAUAGACCAAUACAGCACUACAUCCUGUGGUGAUCAACCACUACAUCCUGCUGUGGUAAUCCACUACAGUACACAAUAUGUGGUGAUCAACCACUACAACACAUGACAUCCUGCUG